GCACCGGCCGGUUACUGAGGACAUUUUUAAAAUCCGCCAAAGUGACUUUUUCCGGAGAAACGGGCAAUUUCACCAAAUAAGGGGUCUCUUCUUCAUCGAUAUGGUAUAUCGCUGCCUAGCGAGUCAAGUUCUCUGGAUAUCUUAUAAUGCAGAAGCAAGAAUCACAAAUGUCACAAGGUCAUCUCAACACUCUUGCUCCCUUUACUGGAUUUGACCCCAGACUCAAACCGAGUCAGAAGAGCAGGAGAAAGAAGCUAUUCACCCCAAUGAACUUUCCAAGGCCAUUUCAUGGGUACUUUUUUCCUAAACAGUCUAUGCAGAAGUCAAACUUGGCAUUUCACCCCCUCAAUGCUGGACGAUCAAGUAUUGAAGCCAAGCUGAGUGGAAAGAAAAAUAUUAACGUGGCAGAAAGAUCGGAUGGCCAAGUGACCCCAUUUCAUAUUUUGGACAGCAGGAGAUGCUUCGAAGCAAGCCGUAACAAGCGCAAGAGGCACACAAAACACUCUCUCCUCUGCUAAACACCCAGCAACGCAAAAGCAAACAAACCAAAAAAAAAAACCUCUUGUCCAAACAUCAGUGAGUUUAUUUAGCAUUUUAUUAGCCAGAUCAGGUAGUCGUCAUUAG